rnacentral:misc_RNA from 1 species
AACAGCUAGUGCCCGUUCAGAUGGCAUGUUUUUGCUUUGUGGUGGAAGAGAUUCCUCGGGCGUGGCACUUGGAGAUGCUUAUGGGCUUUUAAUGCAUAGAAAUGGUCAAUGGGNNNNNGCACCUGGGGUAUCUCCUUCACCAAGGUAUCAGCAUGCUGCGGUUUUUGUUGGUGCACGAUUGCAUGUUACAGGAGGUGUCCUGAAGGGGGGC